AUACGGAGGGUGCAAGCGUUAAUCGGAAUUACUGGGCGUAAAGCGUACGUAGGCGGUCCGUUAAGUUAGAUGUGAAAGCCCCGGGCUUAACCUGGGAACUGCAUUUAAAACUGGCGGACUAGAGUUGAGUAGAGGGGAGUGGAAUUUCAGGUGUAGCGGUGAAAUGCGUAGAGAUCAGAAGGAACACCAGUGGCGAAGGCGACUCCCUGGACUCGAACUGACGCUCAGGUACGAAAGCGUGGGUAGCAAACGGGAUUAGAAACCCCAGUAGUCC
rnacentral:rRNA from 1 species